rnacentral:tRNA from 1 species
GGAGAGAUGGCUGAGUGGUCGAAAGCGGUCGCCUGCUAAGCGAUUGUGGGGCCAUUAAACCCCACCCCGGGUUCGAAUCCCGGUCUCUCCGCCA